GCCGGCAGCAACGACACAAGGUGGGCGAUUUGACCAGCGCAACAUUCUUAUUUGAGGAGCUGUGCGCAGUUCUGAAAAAAUUAAGUUGUGCUUGGUGACAUGCCUCAUUUCUGUGGUUGAAUAUUUGUGUUACCAUUUUCUCCCUUGCUGUGGAAAGCCACCAGCUUCAGGGAGUGCCAGGCUUCCACACAGCCAGAACAGACGCCACCUUUGGCAGGGAGCGUGAGGAUUUGGCUUGUCGAUACGAGUGAUAGCAGCGCCAUCUGCAGAUUCCG